GAUGAACGCUGGCGGCGUGCCUAAUACAUGCAAGUCGAGCGAAUGGAUUGAGAGCUUGCUCUUAUGAAGUUAGCGGCGGACGGGUGAGUAACACGUGGGUAACCUGCCCAUAAGACUGGGAUAACUCCGGGAAACCGGGGCUAAUACCGGAUAACAUUUUGAACCGCAUGGUUCGAAAUUGAAAGGCGGCUUCGGCUGUCACUUAUGGACGGACCCGCGUCGCAUUAGCUAGUUGGUGAGGUAACGGCUCACAAAGGCAACGAUGCGUAGCCGACCUGAGAGGGUGAUCGGCCACACUGGGACUGAGACACGGCCCAGACUCCUACGGGAGGCAGCAGUAGGGAAUCUUCCGCAAUGGACGAAAGUCUGACGGAGCAACGCCGCGUGAGUGAUGAAGGCUUUCGGGUCGUAAAACUCUGUUGUUAGGGAAGAACAAGUGCUAGUUGAAUAAGCUGGCACCUUGACGGUACCUAACCAGAAAGCCACGGCUAACUACGUGCCAGCAGCCGCCGUAA
rnacentral:rRNA from 1 species